AUGGAUCCAAGGGAUAUACUGAAUGUGCGUUUUCAUGUCGGUGGACAAUUUGUUCGUAUUGGUCCUAAUUUGCAAUAUGUUGGGGGAGAUGAGGCAAUGUCAGAGAUAGAAAGGGACAAGCUGUCUUUGCCAGAGAUGAAAGGCUUCCUUGGUGAUCACAUUACCUUCAAAGAAAGUAUGAAAAUUUACUUUCUGGUGCUUGGUAAAGAAUUAGUUGAUGGCCUUUUAUUUUUGAGUGAUGAUGCUAGUUGCAUGAAGAUGUCUUACUACACAACAGAUGGUGGAGUGGCUGAGGUUUAUGUGGAGUAUUUGGGGGAGCAGGAUGAUGGGAGUGCUAGUGAAGACAACAUAAGUAACUUUGAGGAUGAAAUGGGGAAUGCGGCUGAUGAAGAUAGUGAUGUUGCUCCUAAUGCGAUUAUAACUGCAGAAGAUGAUAAUCAUGUGAUUGUACCAAAUCAGAGAGGAGUGAUGACUGAAGUAGUCAAUAGCCCUAGAAAACAGAAGGUCGAAAAGAGAUAG
rnacentral:rRNA from 1 species